rnacentral:sRNA from 1 species
AUUUUGUUGUUGGUGCGCGACGCAGUCAGCUGCGUGAUUCCCGUGAUUGCGUUACAAGCUUUGUCUCCUUCGACUUGGAGUCUGUCCAGGACGAUGAGACACUCAAAGAGAACUUACUGUCCUGAUUGGGAUGACAAGGAUUGGGAUUAUGGAAAAUGGAGGAGCAGCAGCAGUCAUAAAAGAAGGAAGAGAUCACAUAGCAGUGCCCGGGAGAACAAGCGCUGCAAAUACAAUCACUCUAAAAUGUGUGAUAGGUAAGGAGGAUACUUAAAAUGUCUGAAUAUAACAAUACAUUACUAGACAAAACUAGUAUCACUUAAAAUAAGUACCUGAUUACUACCAUUCGUUUGUGUUUCCAAUGAGAGAUUUUGAUGGUUUGUAAUGUUUGUAAAAUUAAGCUGCUUGUGGGGGAGUCUAGGUGCUGUCUUGAGAGAAUGUGAGGAUAUUUGGUCUUAGCAUAAAACAUUGAAAAUAAUUUUUAUUUCUCUAGCCAUUAUUUGGAAAGCAGGUCUAUAAAUGAGAAAGAUUAUCAUAGUCGACGCUACAUUGAUGAGUACAGAAAUGACUACACUCAAGGAUGUGAACCUGGACAUCGCCAAAGAGACCAUGAAAGCCGGUAUCAGAA